rnacentral:rRNA from 1 species
UAAACGCUGGCGGCAGGCCUAACACAUGCAAGUCGAGCGGCAGCGGGAAAGGUAGCUUGCUACUUUUGCCGGCGGAGCGGCGGACGGGUGAGUAAUGCCUGGGAAAUUGCCCAGUCAGGGGGAUAACAGUUGGAACGACUGCUAAUACCGCAUACGCCCUACGGGGGAAAGGCAGGGGACCUUCGGGCCUUGCGCGAUUGGAUAUGCCCAGGUGGGAUUAGCUAGUUGGUGAGGUAAUGGCUCACCAAGGCGACGAUCCCUAGCUGGUCUGAGAGGAUGAUCAGCCACACUGGAACUGAGACACGGUCCAGACUCCUACAGGAGGCAGCAGUGGGGAAUAUUGCACAAUGGGGGAAACCCUGAUGCAGCCAUGCCGCGUGUGUGAAGAAGGCCUUCGGGUUGUAAAGCACUUUCAGCGAGGAGGAAAGGUCAGUAGCUAAUAUCUGCUGACUGUGACGUUACUCGCAGAAGAAGCACCGGCUAACUCCGUG